GGGUAUGGCUGUUCGCCAUUUAAAGUGGUACGCGAGCUGGGUUUAGAACGUCGUGAGACAGUUCGGUCCCUAUCUGCCGUGGGCGCUGGAGAAUUGAGGGGGGCUGCUCCUAGUACGAGAGGACCGGAGUGGACGCAUCACUGGUGUUCGGGUUGUCAUGCCAAUGGCACUGCCCGGUAGCUAAAUGCGGAAGAGAUAAGUGCUGAAAGCAUCUAAGCACGAAACUUGCCCCGAGAUGAGUUCUCCCUGAGACUUUAAGUCUCCUGAAGGAACGUUAAAGACGAUGACGUUGAUAGGCCGGGUGUGUAAGCGCAGCGAUGCGUUGAGCUAACCGGUACUAAUGAACCGUGAGGCUUAACCUU
rnacentral:rRNA from 1 species